CACGUAGGGUGCGAGCGUUGUCCGGAAUUAUUGGGCGUAAAGAGCUCGUAGGCGGUGUGUCGCGUCGGCCGUGAAAACCUGCAGCUUAACUGUGGGCUUGCGGUCGAUACGGGCAUCACUGGAGUUCGGCAGGGGAGACUGGAAUUCCUGGUGUAGCGGUGAAAUGCGCAGAUAGUCAGGAGGAACACCGGUGGCGAAGGCGGGUCUCUGGGCCGAUAACUGAC
rnacentral:rRNA from 1 species